UAAGGAACAAAGGGCACACAGUGGAUGCCUUGGCACUAGGAG
rnacentral:rRNA from 1 species